rnacentral:rRNA from 1 species
UGGGGAAUAUUGGACAAUGGGCGCAAGCCUGAUCCAGCAAUGCCGCGUGAAUGAUGAAGGCCUUAGGGUUGUAAAGUUCUUUUAGUGGGGAAGAUAAUGACGGUACCCACAGAAAAAGCUCCGGCUAACUUCGUGCCAGCAGCCGCGGUAAUACGAAGGGAGCUAGCGUUUUUCGGAAUUACUGGGCGUAAAGCGCGUGUAGGCGGCCGAUUAAGUUGGAAGUGAAAUCCCAGGGCUUAACCCUGGAGCUGCUUCCAAAACUGGUUGGCUAGAGAGUGACAGAGGAUGGCGGAAUUCCUAGUGUAGAGGUGAAAUUCUUAGAUAUUAGGAGGAACAUCGAUGGCGAAGGCAGCCAUCUGGGUCAUUUCUGACGCUGAGACGCGAAAGCGUGGGGAGCAAACAGG